rnacentral:rRNA from 1 species
UGUGACCUCAAAUCAGGUAGGACUACCCGCUGAACUUAAGCAUAUCAAUAAGCGGAGGAAAAGAAACUAACAAGGAUUCCCCUAGUAACUGCGAGUGAAGCGGGAAAAGCUCAAAUUUAAAAUCUGGCAGUCUUUGACUGUCCGAGUUGUAAUCUAGAGAAGUGCUAUCCGCGCUGGACCGUGUACAAGUCUCCUGGAAUGGAGCGUCAUAGAGGGUGAGAAUCCCGUCUUUGACACGGACUGCCAGGGCUUUGUGAUACGCUCUCAAAGAGUCGGGUUGUUUGGGAAUGCAGCUCAAAAUGGGUGGUAAAUUCCAUCUAAAGCUAAAUAUUGGCGAGAGACCGAUAGCGAACAAGUACCGUGAGGGAAAGAUGAAAAGAACUUUGGAAAGAGAGUUAAACAGUACGUGAAAUUGCUGAAAGGGAAACGCUUGAAGUCAGUCGCGUUGUCCAGGGAUCAACCUUGCUUUUGCUUGGUGCACUUUCUGGUUGACGGGUCAGCAUCAAUUUUGACUAUUGGAAAAAGAUUAGGGGAAUGUGACAUCUUUGGAUGUGUUAUAGCCCUUGGUUGCAUACAAUGGUUGGGAUUGAGGAACUCAGCACGCCGCAAGGCCGGG